GAUGAACGCUAGCGACAGGCUUAACACAUGCAAGUCGAGGGGCAGCAUAAAAGUAGCAAUACUUUGGUGGCGACCGGCGCACGGGUGAGUAACGCGUAUGCAACCUACCUAUCAGAGGGGGAUAACCCGGCGAAAGUCGGACUAAUACCGCAUAAAACAGGGGCACCGCAUGGUGCUAUUUGUUAAAAAUUUAUUGCUGAUAGAUGGGCAUGCGUUCCAUUAGGUAGUUGGAGAGGUAACGGCUCACCAAGCCUACGAUGGAUAGGGGAACUGAGAGGUUGGUCCCCCACACUGGUACUGAGACACGGACCAGACUCCUACGGGAGGCAGCAGUGAGGAAUAUUGGUCAAUGGGCGAGAGCCUGAACCAGCCAAGUCGCGUGAAGGAAGAAGGAUCUAUGGUUCGUAAACUUCUUUUGCAGGGGAAUAAAGUGCAGGACGUGUCCUGUUUUGUAUGUACCCUGAGAAUAAGGAUCGGCUAACUCCGUGCCAGCAGCCGCGGUAA
rnacentral:rRNA from 1 species